UGCUUGAUACAUGCAAGUCUAGGAGAACGUUUUCUUCGGAAAAUUAUUAAACUGGCGAACGGGUGAGUAACACGUAGGUAACCUGCCGUAAAGAUUGGGAUAACUCCGGGAAACCGGAGCUAAUACCGAAUAUGGCAUUAGAUUCGCAUGAAUUUUAUGUUAAAGUGGGCUUCGGCUCACACUUUACGAUGGGCCUGCGUCCGAUUAGCUUGUUGGUAAGGUAAUGGCUUACCAAGGCGAUGAUCGGUAGCUGGUCUGAGAGGAUGAUCAGCCACACUGGGAUUGAGAUACGGCCCAGACUCCUACGGGAGGCAGCAGUAAGGAAUUUUGCACAAUGGACGAAAGUCUGAUGCAGCAACGCCGCGUGAUCGAUGAAGCUUUUAGGAGUGUAAAGAUCUGUCGUGAGGGAAGAAAAAUUUAGAUGUAAAUAAUGUUUAAACUUGACAGUACCUUACAAGAAAGCACCG
rnacentral:rRNA from 1 species